GACAGAGGAUGCAAGCGUUAUCCGGAAUGAUUGGGCGUAAAGCGUCUGUAGGUGGCUUUUUAAGUCUGCCGUCAAAUCCCAGGGCUUAACCCUGGACAGGCGGUGGAAACUACCAAGCUGGAGUACGGUAGGGGCAGGGGGAAUUUCCGGUGGAGCGGUGAAAUGCGUAGAGAUCGGAAGGAACACCAACGGCGAAAGCACUCUGCUGGGCCGACACUGACACUGAGAGACGAAAGCUAGGGGAGCGAAUGGG
rnacentral:rRNA from 1 species